UACGUAGGGUGCAAGCGUUGUCCGGAAUUAUUGGGCGUAAAGGGCUCGUAGGCGGUCCAUCACGUCGGGAGUGAAAAGCUGGGGCUUAACCCCAGUCCUGCUUCCGAUACGGGUGGACUAGAGGUAGGCAGGGGAGAGCGGAACUCCUGGUGUAGCGGUGGAAUGCGCAGAUAUCAGGAAGAACACCGGUGGCGAAGGCGGCUCUCUGGGCCUUACCUGACGCUGAGGAGCGAAAGCAUGGGGAGCGAACAGG
rnacentral:rRNA from 1 species